UACGAAGGGGGCUAGCGUUGCUCGGAAUCACUGGGCGUAAAGCGCACGUAGGCGGGUCGUUAAGUCGGGGGUGAAAUCCUGGAGCUCAACUCCAGAACUGCCUUCGAUACUGGCGAUCUUGGAGUCCGGGAGAGGUGGGUGGAACUGCGAGUGUAGAGGUGAAAUUCGUAGAUAUUCGCAAGAACACCAGUGGCGAAGGCGGCUCACUGGCCCGGUACUGACGCUGAGGUGCGAAAGCGUGGGGAGCAAACAGG
rnacentral:rRNA from 1 species